CCCAGCGUCCUGUGCGUGAAACACGCGAGCGGCCGAUUCGGAAACUUGCGUGAAAGCGAGAGAAUGAGAGGUGACUCGGAAAGUUACGUUCGUGAGAGGGAGAUCUCUGAAAACACGAGGGAGAUCUGGUCGACUAAGUCGCCGCGGCAGGGUUUUUUUUUCCUUUUUCUUUUUUUUCGCAGCCGCGUUACGCCACCGAGGGGUGCGAUCGUGUCUUUUAUCAAUAUUGUAAUGGUUAAAUCUUGCCUUUUAAAUUAGCAAAAAUGUUAAAUUGAAUAAACGACAUAAGAGGUCUGCGUGUAAAAUCGCUAAAAUCAGCAAAUAAACAUGUGUUACAUGUGUGUUAUUCGGGAUUAUAACCAUAAAACAUCAGUCACCAACACAAUCUUGAUAUAAGAUAAUUCAUAAAAACACACUUGUUCACACUCCGGCUCAAAAUGGAUGAAAACUGAGUUGUUCCACUUGUUCACACAGUCUGGAGUGUGCAGCACAGAUCAGCCCCCCUCCUCCCUCCUCCCUCCUCACGCUCUGUUCCCAAAGUUUGCUCGAACGUGGGUAUCUUCGAUGACCUCUUUAGUGGGACAAAGGAGGCUGCGGAUCGAUUCGUUACACCUUUUUAGCGAGGCUUCUGUUGAAGGGGAGGGGCUCUGAAUCCACAAGAGGCUCCAUUAGCAGCCUACACUCCCGUCCUAACUAUUAUCCACCAUAAAGUGUUUAUAAAAGGGCGCACAAGUGGGCCAAUGUCCUCUCAAAUGAGACGGCGUGGUAUUUCCGUUUACCGCUGGAGAGGAUGGUGGUGAAGAAGAGGACGAGGAGAGGAGGAGAAAAGUCUAAAGUUUGUGUUUUUUUUUUUUUCUUGGCUGAUAGGAGAGUGCGGUGAUAAUCUCAACAGGAGAGGAGGCUCAGCUCGGACUGGAUGCGCUCUCCUCUCGCCACAGGACUUUGAGGGGGGACGCUGCGCACCGAGCCGCACCGGCUCCAGGCUACGACCGGAUCAAGAAUCUGGAUUACAAACUUUUGCGCAAAACCAUUUUUUUUUUUGUUACUGAUUCUGUGAUUCAGAACAAGGUGACCCAUCGCAAGCAGGAUGAAGAAAACAAGAUGUUUGAUUCACAUGGUCGAGGUAAAAGUCUGCAAACUAAAUUAAAAUGAACCUUCCUUCUGUUAAAAAAAUAUGCUUUCCUGACUAGACUUUACUGAUGUAGAGAGUUGUACUUUUUUUUGUAGUUGUUAAGAGGCGUCCUUUCUUUAUCUGAAGGUUGAAGGGUUUUUUUUGGGGGGGGUGGUGCUCCUGUGAUCCUGGGCCAGCAGGGGGGGACAUGUGGUUCAAGAGACAAGGGGCUGGUGGCAACACUGAAAUAUGUGAACAGGAGCAGAACAGACACGCAGGCUCACAUUUUCAUCCAAAUGACAAAAGUUUUCUGUUAUAACCAUCACUUUUCUGUCCUUAGUUUUAUUUCUUUAACAUGUGCUUUCUUUCUUUCUUUCUUCCUUCAUCUCUCAUUUCUUUAGAUGUAAUGUACCUACUAACUACUAUAAAAAGUACACACAUUUUAUUGCCAUGCGAGUCAUUUGAUGACACGUCGUCCUGUUUCCCUCUCUUCUGCGUGAUGUUACUCCCCUCAGAGCGGGGCGAGAACAUCCAUGUAGUCGUCAUGUAUAUUUACAUACAUUAUUCUCUACCUUCCUUUGUCUGUUUCUUUCUUUUUUUUCCUUCCCCCUCCUCUAGGUCUGACAUUAUCAUCUAAAGAGGAGCUGCUGAGGAGAUCUAGUGGAUUGCGGCGCAGAGGAGUCCUGCAGGUUGUCACGUCAGACAUAAUGGGAAAUAUGACCGAGGUCACGCUAAGAAUAGCCGAUUUCCUGACCUCAGCUUCUCCAGCGACGUCUGCAGCAUUAUCAGGUGAAAUAUCCGCCGCUACACGCUAACAACAAGAGACGUCCGUACGGAGCCAGCAGCACACAGGACGACGGGCUCAGGGCAAGACAUCCGGAUCACAGGGGUUGUUGUCACCUAUAAGCCACUUGCAAUCAUCCUGGA